rnacentral:rRNA from 1 species
AGUGAACGCUGGCGGUAGGCCUAACACAUGCAAGUCGAACGGCAGCACAGUAAGAGCUUGCUCUUACGGGUGGCGAGUGGCGGACGGGUGAGGAAUACAUCGGAAUCUACUUUUUCGUGGGGGAUAACGUAGGGAAACUUACGCUAAUACCGCAUACGACCUACGGGUGAAAGCAGGGGAUCUUCGGACCUUGCGCGAUUGAAUGAGCCGCUGUCGGAUUAGCUAGUUGGAAGGGUAAAGGCCCACCAAGGCGACGAUCCGUAGCUGGUCUGAGAGGAUGAUCAGCCACACUGGAACUGAGACACGGUCCAGACUCCUACGGGAGGCAGCAGUGGGGAAUAUUAGACAAUGGGCGCAAGCCUGAUCCAGCCAUACCGCGUGGGUGAAGAAGGCCUUCGGGUUGUAAAGCCCUUUUGUUGGGAAAGAAAAGCAGCAGGUUAAUACCCCGCUGUUCUGACGGUACCCAAAGAAUAAGCACCGGCUAACUUCGUG